GACGAACGCUGGCGGCGUGCUUAACACAUGCAAGUCGAACGGAAAGGCCCUGCUUUUGUGGGGUGCUCGAGUGGCGAACGGGUGAGUAACACGUGAGUAACCUGCCCUUGACUUUGGGAUAACUUCAGGAAACUGGGGCUAAUACCGGAUAGGAGCUCCUGCUGCCUGGUGGGGGUGGAAAGUUUCGGCGGUUGGGGAUGGACUGGCGGGAUAUCCGCUUGUUGGUGGGGUAGUGGCUUACCAAGGCUUUGACGGGUAGCCGGCCUGAGAGGGUGACCGGCCACAUUGGGACUGAGAUACGGCGCAGACUCCUACGGGAGGCAGCAGUGGGGAAUAUUGCACAAUGGGCGGAAGCCUGAUGCAGCAACGCCGCGUGCGGGAUGACGGCCUUCGGGUUGUAAACCGCUUUCGCCUGUGACGAAGCGUGAGUGACGGUAAUGGGUAAAGAAGCACCGGCUAACUACGUG
rnacentral:rRNA from 1 species